rnacentral:rRNA from 1 species
UGCGUAGGCGGCGUCGUAAGUCAGAAGUGAAAGCUCACAGCUUAACUGUGAAAUUGCUUUUGAUACUGCGGUGCUUGAAUUAAGUUGAGGUUAGCGGAAUGUGACAUGUAGCGGUGAAAUGCAUAGAUAUGUCAUAGAACACCAAUUGCGAAGGCAGCUGGCUAGGCCUAUAUUGACGCUCAGGCACGAAAGCGUGGGGAGCGAACAGGAUUAGAUACCCUGGUAGUCC